rnacentral:rRNA from 1 species
GACGAACGCUGGCGGCGUGCUUAACACAUGCAAGUCGAACGGAGAAUUUUACUUCGGUGAAAUUCUUAGUGGCGAACGGGUGAGUAACGCGUAGACAACCUGCCUCUUAGAUGGGGACAACAUCGCGAAAGCGGUGCUAAUACCGAAUGAAGUGGAGCUUCCGCAUGGAAGCAUCACCAAAGGUGGCCUCUAUUUAUAAGCUACCACUGAGAGAUGGAUCUGCGUCUGAUUAGCUAGUUGGCGGGGUAAUGGCCCACCAAGGCGACGAUCAGUAGCCGGUCUGAGAGGAUGAACGGCCACAUUGGGACUGAGACACGGCCCAAACUCCUACGGGAGGCAGCAGUGGGGAAUCUUCCGCAAUGGACGAAAGUCUGACGGAGCAACGCCGCGUGAGUGAAGAAGGUUUUCGGAUCGUAAAGCUCUGUUGUUUGAGACGAAUGUGCAGACUUUGAAUAAGGGUUUGUAAUGACGGUAUUAAACGAGAAAGCCACGGCUAACUACGUGCCAGCAGCCGCAGUAA